UACAGAGGUCCCGAGCGUUGUUCGGAUUCACUGGGCGUAAAGGGUGCGUAGGUGGUGAGGUAAGUCGGAUGUGAAAGCGUCGGAGCUCAACUCCGAAAUGGCAUUGGAAACUGCCUUGCUUGAGGGUUGGGAGGGGGGACUGGAAUACUUGGUGGUAGCAGUGAAAUGCGUAGAUAUCAAGUGGAACACCAGUGGCGAAGGCGAGUCCCUGGACAACUCCUGACACUGAGGCACGAAAGCUGGGGGAGCAAACCGG
rnacentral:rRNA from 1 species